CCUAUACUGUUUUUGUGGUAGUGAAUAAGUCUCAUGAGAUCUGAUGGUUUUAUAGAGUCCUGCCAAUGAGAUGUAGACAGAAGUCUACUGAGACUGGCUUCUUUUCACCAACAAAAAGACAAAGCCCUUCAAGGAGAAGUCUUUAGGCCUAAUUGCCUCAUUUUUGCCUGGAACAUGGAUGUGAUUUCUGGAGGCGCACCAGCCACUGCAGGGCCCUGUUCAUAAAGACAGGGUCUCACUCUCGUCACCCAGGCUGGAGUGCAGUGGUACGACCUUGGCUUACUUCGGCCUCCACCUCCCAGAUUCAAUUAUGGAUGCUCACAUGUGCAAAGUUAAAGGGCCACAUCUGGUGAGGGCUUUCUUGCUGGUGAGGAUUCUCUGAAGAGUAUUGAGGCAGCAGAGGACAUCACAUGACAGAUUUCUUCCGAGUCACCGGUGGGAGCUUCCCAGGGAGAUGCGGCUUUAUUCCCUCAUGGCAGACAGGAGGAGGAUGCUGAGCGGGAGCUGAUGCCACCUGGCAGCAAUGGUGGCACAGACUGCUGGAGAGGCACAGAUUGGAACCCAAGCCUCAUCAGACGGCAGCUGUGACAGCGGCAUAUUUCAAAAAUGUAUUGCAAAUUUCACACAAGGGGUCUUUAAAAAAAUUUGAAAGUCUCCUUGGCUUUCACAGACUUUUAAUUAAGAGAGAACUCCUCUUCUUUGAAAAUCAAAACACUUUUUGCCUAUUUUAUGUAUCUAAAGGUAGAUGGGAACUUACAGCCACAUUUAAAAAAUUUGCAGUUGAUUAUGUGGUUUUCAAAUUUAAUAACCUACUAUGAAUAAUUAACUCAACAAGAAGAAAAGGGCACAUUGGCACCUCACAAUUAAAAGAGUAAGAGUGAAAUUAUGCUACCUUUGAAGACUUUAUUUAUUUAUUUAUUUAUUUAUUUAUUUAUUUAUUUAGAUGGAGUUUCACUCUUGUUGCCCAGGCUGGAGUGCAGUGGCACGACCUCGGC
rnacentral:lncRNA from 1 species